rnacentral:sRNA from 1 species
GCUGGGUGUGGUGGUGCAUGCCUGUAAUCCCAGCAACUCUGGAGGCUAAGGCAGGAGGAUCACAAUUGGAGCCCAGGAUUUGCAACUUAGACUCUUUCUUAA